UAAUUUAGCAAUCUUUCACGAGCUAUUUUUUUUUUCGAACCCUGAAGUAUUAUUACAGUCCCGGUAUUUUAUGUUCCUAAUAGCCACCCUAUAUCAUGAUUAUUUUUUUCAUACAUGUCACAAUCAAAUCAUAUCUUAAAUCAUAUCUUAUCAAAUUUUCCACUUUCUUUCCUCCCACCAUACCCCUUCUCCUACUAAUCCGACAGCCAAAUCUUAACAAAUCCCACUUUAAUUCCCACUUAACAAAUUCCACUUUCACACUUUUAAAUUCCCACCAACUUUCACACUUUUAAAUUCCCACCAUUUCAGACUUGUCUGCAAAACCAUUUCCUCUUGGCAAUUCCCACCAUUUCAGACUCUCUCUUUGGCGUACAGAAUCCAGCAACUGUGCAAUCAAGUAAAUCAAAGCAGCCACCCAUCUGUGUAUCAACAACCGGAAACUUUCAAAGGCUUUGUGGAUCGUGAGGACUAGCACUGCUAUACCAAUUCAGAGUUAAGAAUAAACGACAGGCUUUGCCUAUUCAGGUGGGCUUAUUUUCCAAAUGUAUGAUUUAGCUAUUGAGCUUAAAUAUUUCAAUGAAAUGAAAACUGUUUAUCCAAUAAAUAUUUUUGUGCACUCUGCUCUGUUUAAGGCUCGCAUAAGUUAAUCGAUCGAGGUUCUCUUAUGACCUAACACGUUGUUUGAGAAUUGUGUACACCUAUUAGCUGACUCGGUGGGUUGAUCUCCAUCGGGCACUAAUCAUGUAUGAGGCGUUAUAAGGGUGCUCGACGGGAUGUGUUCCGGAGCAUUGGGUCCCAAAUGGGAGCUUGGCUGGGUUACGCCCUCAGUCCAAGUAAAGCAGGAGUAAUGGAUCCGUCGGUGGCUAAAAGGUCCGGGAUCACAGCGAGUAACGGAAAGGGAGUGUGACAAUUGCGCGCAAUAUAAUAAAAUGUUUUAACAUGCUUAGAAGUUAUUUUUGUUUUAAAACCUUCUAAGUCAUGUAAAGUAUAAUUGGAUAAACUGCUCUUAUGAUUAUGAAAUAUUUAUAAAAAUGCUAGCCCACUAAGUACAUUAGUACUUAGCCCAAAAUUUCUUUCAAAUGUUUUCAGGUUGAUUGGUCGGUGCUGACGGGGCAGAGCUGAGGCUAGGGUUCAACUCCGUAUUUUGUCUUCCGCUGUUGCACUAGCUCUUAUUUGUCUUUUAUUUCUCCAACUCAAGACUUUUAUGUUAAAUUCUGAAUUAUGUUUCUUAUCGAGCUUAAACUCUCAACUUCUAGCUCUAUAUUAUUAACGUUGGUUAUCGGAAGCAUGAAACCGAACUUGUGAUCCUAAGGCUUAGAAUGUUGUUGAUUGACUAAUAUCACUUGAUUUUUGUCUUUCUUCA